UACGUAGGGCGCAAGCGUUGUCCGGAAUUAUUGGGCGUAAAGAGCUCGUAGGCGGUCUGUUACGUCUGCUGUGAAAACCCGGGGCUUAACCCUGGGCUUGCAGUGGAUACGGGCAGACUAGAGGCAGGUAGGGGAGAAUGGAAUUCCCGGUGUAGCGGUGAAAUGCGCAGAUAUCGGGAGGAACACCGGUGGCGAAGGCGGUUCUCUGGGCCUGACCUGACGCUGAGGAGCGAAAGCGUGGGGAGCGAAACAGG
rnacentral:rRNA from 1 species